rnacentral:rRNA from 1 species
UACGAAGGGGGCUAGCGUUGCUCGGAAUCACUGGGCGUAAAGGGUGCGUAGGCGGGUCUUUAAGUCAGGGGUGAAAUCCUGGAGCUCAACUCCAGAACUGCCCUUGAUACUGGCGAUCUCGAGUUCGGGAGAGGUGAGUGGAACUGCGAGUGUAGAGGUGAAAUUCGUAGAUAUUGGGAAGAACACCGGUGGCGAAGGCGGCUCUCUGGACCGAUACUGACGCUGAGGCGCGAAAGCGUGGGGAGCAAACAGG